AAAAAAGAUUGGAAGUGGAACCGAUUUUCCGGAAGAGGUCUUCGGCUUGCUCUGAUAUGAUAAGAAUGUUCGCUCCCUCUCCCUGUCAACAUACAUGGGAUUGACCAGCCCCCUAUCUUAGAGGGUUUACCCCAUGGUCAGUUUGCGAUGAAAGAAACUUCAGAAUGCAGCCCAUAUAGUCCUAUCAAUAUACAAGGCUUUUCAAUUCAGUGAAAGACAAGAGAGGUGGUGAACACAAACUCGACUGAUAAAGGAGAGGUCCAGAGGUAUUAACUAGUUGAUGAGGUCUCAACGAGCGACUAAAAGGAGAGGUACUGACGUGACUCGAGUGAAACUAUAUUGAGGAGAGUGUUUACUUCUCUGUCGCUUCCGUACUUCUUUAACUUCUUUUUAGCUUAUUAACCGAUGGCUGGGGAGGAUGAAGUGGUGGACCCGUAUUGACUGGAUGAGAUGGUCCCUCUGCACCGCGUGAUAAUGUGAGUACUUGCACCCCCGUCUGAUGGUACUUGGACUGUCACCGUGAAAGAGGGUCAAGAACCACUUUACUUUCAGCUCGUAGCGGAAAGAGCAGAUUAACUUUCAGUUUCUCAUAUGGAGUCCCAUAUGCUUAGCCAUCAGCUGACUCCAAAACACUAACCAAGCUUCUUCUCGCUUCUCAAAGCUUUGAUGGUGUAGUCGAAGUCCGUAUGAGUCUUUGUCUGUGUGUCUUCUAACAAGGAUAUACUACUUAGGCUUUUAAGAUCGGGUUGCGGUUUAAGUUCCUAUACUCAAUCAUACACAUGACAUCAAGUCAUAUUCGACUCCAAAACACUAACCAAGCUUCGUCUUGCUUCUCAAACCUUUGAUGGUGUAGCCAAAGUCCGUAUGAGUCUUUGGCUUUGGCCGAUUGGUUGGAAGGUAAGGAUAGCGUGAUUGGCCGAUUGGUUGGAAGGUAAGGAUAGCAUGAUUGGUUGGAAGGUAAACAACCAGAGCUUGAAUCCGUCUUCACUGACACCGUUGAUUUUGAUUAAGCUGCAGAGCCUAUCAAAUUCAUCCAAGUGGUCGAGUGGGUAUUCCAUAGGCAGACCAUGUAACUUGUUUCCCUGAAUCAUCGAGAUGAGACCACUCUUAAUCUCGAAGAUGUGUUUUGGACAGCAGGAGGUGCAAUUCCUUUCCACUGACGGUGAUUCCUUGGUGCAUCUCUAGCACCAAUGUUUGCGGGUCCACUUUGUUGAUUUUGUUCAUCAGCCAUUUCGAGUGGUUGGUGGUGCACAAGGUUGACUGUGUUUCUCCGUUCCAGUAGUUCGCGAGCAAUGCAGUCGAUAUUAUCAUUGUAAAUGAGGUUCUGGUUGCCGUUUGAUCAAGUUUGCAUACAGUAGAGGUGUACCUGGAUCAAGAAAAACACACAGUUAGUAAUUGAAAUAAAAAUUGAAAAAGAACUUGAUCUAAGCAAGUCUGAAAUCUUAAAUGUAACAAACAAACACCCAAUUGGCAACUUCACUAAAUUGAUAAUAGGUUUUUAAGA
rnacentral:sRNA from 1 species